rnacentral:rRNA from 1 species
AUACGGAGGGUGCAAGCGUUAUUCAGAAUCACUGGGCGUAAAGGACGCGUAGGCGGGAAGCCAAGUCUGAUGUGAAAUCCUAUGGCUCAACCAUAGAACUGCAUUGGAAACUGGCUACCUAGAGUAUGGGAGGGGGAGAUGGAAUUAGUGGUGUAGGGGUAAAAUCCGUAGAUAUCACUAGGAAUACCGAAAGCGAAGGCGAUCUCCUGGAACAAUACUGACGCUAAGGCGUGAAAGCGUGGGGAGCAAACGGGAUUAGAAACCCUUGUAGUCC